GGAUUCGUGGUCCAACGGAACGACGCCCGCCUCCAGAACGGGAGAUGGCUGUUCGAUUCGGUCCGAAUCCA
rnacentral:tRNA from 2 species